rnacentral:rRNA from 1 species
GAUAUCCGGCAUUUUAGGCCGAUCAUCGUAAUUAAUGUGCUGGAGAGGAUCUUUGUGAAGGUGUGCGCUACUCGCCUGGCCCCGGUGGCGGAGCGGAUUGCCCAUGACCUUCAAACUACAUUCCUGAAGGGGCGGAGGAUCCAUGAUGGAGUACUGGCCCUUCAUGAAAUUGUUCACGAGGUGGAAUCACGGGGCCAUAAGGGUCUAUUCCUCAAGCUGGACUUCCAAAAGGUAUAUGAUCGCUUAGACUGGUCCUUCUUGCGGUUAGUGAUGCAGAGACGCGGAUUCAAUGAGCGGUGGUGCUCAUCGAUCAUGUAG